CAUGUUUCCAUUUUGGUUUACAUUAUUGUUUUUCAACUGGUUUGAAAUAUAAUGUUCCAUGCUCAUCUUGUAAAUUUCCUUCCUGGGCCUGCAGGAAGAGAGCUAGCAGUCAAUGCUUCCCUCAGCGGCUCUGCUUCAGCCUCUAAUGACAUCAAGGUAUUCAUGGAGAGGUCCCUGCCAGCUGGAGAGCAAGCAGCUUUCAGUCCUGACCAUCUCUCUUCAGCAAGAGCCUGUCUGGAGCGGCCACAGUAUCAUAUCUGCCCAGCCAGAAGCAAUCCUUGUGCCUCUAGCCUGAUGAUGGCACCAACUCUGAUACGCUCCACCAGACUGUGUAACUAUCUGCCUUGGAUUUUCACCGUGUGUGGAAAGACCUUUUUUGACAUGAAAUCGAACCCCGGACCUCCCACAGGACCUCCCACACGAAAGGCGGAGUAUUCCAUGGCCUGAGCCGCAUCUGCUCUCCUGUCAGGGUUUUUAAAAUCCCAGUUCUGCUGUUUCUUUAUCUGCACUCUGAAACAUAUCAC
rnacentral:lncRNA from 1 species